AAAUUUGAAGACUGGAACCAAUUACGUAGCCUCACUAGCUCACUCACUACAAAAACAAAUAAAUCCAUGCAACAACAAAUGGGGACAGGAAGAAAUCGAGGUUUUAACAACUGCUUGAUUAGAAAAUCGCGAUAGGAACAAAUGGUUUGGCCAAAAACGCAGAAAAGGUGUAGGGUUUGCUCUUAAGAAAGAAGAGAAAAAGGGAGAAGAUUCUAACUCGCGCCAAAAACGAAAAAGAGGAGAAGAUUUUAGCUCGCGUAGGAAGACCAAAAAUGAAGAAGAGGAUCUAGGGUUUGCUCUGAAGAAAGAGUGAAAAAAAGGGAAGUUUAACCUUGCGAGUUUUGUUUGAGAAAAAAAGAUGAAAAAUGGAGAAGAUUGAACUUGCGGGUGCUCUGAAGAAAGAGGUGAAGGAUUUAUUC
rnacentral:lncRNA from 1 species